rnacentral:lncRNA from 1 species
GAGCUUUCGCUUGAGCGCCUGCGUCCUAGAGCCGGAGCCCGCCGGAUCUCCUCGCCCCACCGUCGUCCCGCGUGCCACUGGGGAGCACGCCGGCGAGCGUCGUUGCCUUUCCGCCACCGGCCUAGGUGAUCCAUGGCUCGUGGACGGAUCAAGAGCGCCGCCUGGCAUGUCUUGAGGAUUAAUUGGAGGAAUGUCUCAGAGUUGUUUUAGAAUUUUGAAAGGGUCAAAAGCGGAUGGUCAGAGGUAAUACAUCAUUUGCUCUUGGUCAGUUUGCUGAACACGUGCAGCCAGAAAUUCGAUCUCACUAUGAGAGUGUAGUUCCAUGCAUCUUAAAUGCAGUUGAAGACCCAUCAGAUGGGGUUAAGGUAAAAUAGGGAGAGACUUUGGAUAUAAAUAUUGGUUAAUUUUGCAUGACAACUCCGUGGUAAUUAUGUAAUGCGAAUAAUCAAUAUGAUUUUGUAGGAGAUAUCAUAUUAUGCAUUGGUGGUUUUCUGUGAAGACAUGAGUGAAGAUAUCCUACCAUAUCUGGAACCUUGGAUAUGCAGAUUACUUAUGUCUUUGCAGGUUUAGUCCUCGAAAUUCUGUUGAGACUGACGCAGGGCAGCCUGAUAAGGAAGAAAAGAUUAGAAAUGACAUGCCAUGGCAGCCAUAGUGAUGUAUUUUUCUUUCAUGUCCUUCCAAUUUAGUAUGUUUUCAUUUGGACUGUAGAUGGUAAUUGUAUUGUCAUAUAGUCAUAUUAGUUACGUAGUGUACGCAGAGACUGAAGGCUCGGUCUUCUUUUCUUUCUUAUAGGAAUGAAAUUUGGAGAUUACCGUACUCAUUAAUUUCUUUACCACACUGUGAUGUCUUGGUUACGUACAUAUGUAUAUCACUUAUUCUUCAGCAGAAUAGUACGUUAUAAUCAGUUCGGUACUACUAUAUAUUAACAACCAGAUAAACUUAAAUCUUUAUGCUAUUGACUAUAUAUUUAGAAUGUGAAGGCCAGCAAGAGCAGAUAGCAUCAAGGUAAUCAUUUGAACUGCAAUAUUCUCUGAAUUUUAAAUAAAGGUGGUUAAUUUCUUACAAACCAAGCAUACCUUUGGUAUCUUGAUGUUCUUUCUUAUAUAGCAUAUCUAAAUGUGAAUUUUUAUAUACAGGUGUGAUGUUUCCAAUAUGAAGGCCAAAUAGAAGGGAGGAGAUAACAAUCGGAUCGAUUCCAAUAUGUGAACUUCCAAACAUGGGUGAAGGGAGGAGAUAACAACGUUGGCGUUGGCUCUAUUGGUUUGAUGUUGCAGAUUUAUUAGUUGUCAAUUAUCACCCACACAUAACAAUCGGACUCGAUUCCGAUAGCAAGGGCGCCCGAGCACUGUUCGUCCACCUCCAGCAGUUUUUGCUUGUUUCACCUUAGCCUUCAUAGUCCCUCAAGGAAAUUGUCACUGAACUUUGACAAUGGCAUCUUCUCACUUUUGUGAACGACACUAGAUUAUCUCUUAGUAAUAGUUCUUUACUAAAUUUUGUUGAUACAUAAAUGGUUAUUUACUGAACAAUACUUGUAUGUGUCUGUGUAUGGAGAAUGGUGAUGAAACUUUAUAAUAAUCCAUUGUCCAACAAGGGGGUUCUAAUUUCUGAUUCGAU